AUGAGAGCGGCGAACGGGUUAGUAAUAAAUGGGUAAUUUGCCCCUAAGUUCGGGAUAGCCACCGGAAACGGUGAUUAAUACCGGAUGUGAUCGACCUUCGCAUGGAGGUCUCUUUAAAGGCGGGGAAUCUUCGGAUCCUGUCGCUUAGGGAUAGGCCCAUUUCCUAUCAGUUAGUUGGUGAGGUAACGGCUCACCAAGGCUUACGGGUAGUUGGUCUGAGAGGAUGAUCAGCAACACUGGGACUGAGACACUGCCCAGACUCCUACGGGAGGCUGCAGUCGAGAAUCAUUGUCAAUGCACGAAAGUGUGAACAUGCGACGCCGCGUGGAGGAAGACGGCCUUCGGGUUGUAAACUCCUGUCAGCAGGGAAUAAAGACAGCUUUGCUAAUAUCAGAGCUGUUUGAAGGUACCUGCAGAGGAAGUCACGGCUAACUCUGUGCCAGCAGCCGCGGUAAUACAGAGGUGGCGAACGUUGUUCGGAUUUACUGGGCGUAAAGGGUCCGCAGGCGGU
rnacentral:rRNA from 1 species